AAGAAUAGCAGUAUGCCAAACUCAAAAAAACCAAACAAAAAACCAACAAACUGACUCCCCUUACGUGAGACAAUUCCCUGGAGCAAACCACAUUGACUUUUACAACCUCAUUGUAAAAUAUUUGAGAUAAUGGAAGUAUGAGACAUUUGUUCAUUGCACUAUAAUUCACCGCUAAAAGGCAACAUUAAACUAUAUGGGUGCUUUUUUAGAACCUUGGAUAAGCUUUAUCAGUUCCCGAUUGAUCCUUGGUAACCAGAACUCCUUAGACAACGCAAAUUUGGUUUGUUAUUCACCAAAACACCAAGCUAAUUUAGAGAAAUGAAAUAAAGGAUAACCAUUCUUCUCAAUAAGUACUGGAAACAAAAGAUCUUCUCUUUAGACAAAGGUCAGAACCAAAAGUCUUGGGAGAAAGGACUUGGUUGGCUAGCUCAGCCUUUAGGGUAUUGCAGACAUUUUGCACUCCUGGCUUUUGAAAAACGUGAGAAGUUAAAAUCUGGGAAACUCAAUAGAGAUACAGAGCAUGCAAAGAUUCUCAGUAUGUAUUGUGCCAUUAUGAUAACCAUUAGCACUCUAUAACCUGUCACAAUUCCUCACUGGUUCAUAAAAGUUAUGUUUGUUUAAGGGCUUAGAAGACUGACCUAUUUUACAUAGAAUCUCCUCUAGCUUUAGAGACGACAGCAUUCUAAAAUGCAAAAUGGUAGGUUGCGUAGACUCAACUGUUGAACAGGAGCAGAUAAAAAUCCUGCUUCCAGCUUUAGAAUAGGAUUUGUUUGCCUCAGCUCCUUGUCUUAGCUGUAAUCAAAAGCUACGAGAAAGUGAAAACAACCCCCCCCCCAACCUUUAAAAAAGUGUUUGAUGUAAAUAUAGUCGCAUCUAAGAAGAGGCAGACUGAAUGAGAACAGUAGUUGCAGCAUGAAGAGAAAGACAGGGUGCUUUAGCUGUGUGGCCCACAUAAUACAUAUAUUCCAUUUCAGGUGUUCUCUUCCUUGUACUUCCAACACAUUACAGUAUCCUUUUGGUAUUUCACACAUCUUUGUCUUCAUUUAUUCUACUCCCUGUAACCCUCA